rnacentral:rRNA from 1 species
UACGUAGGGUGCAAGCGUUAAUCGGAAUUACUGGGCGUAAAGCGUGCGCAGGCGGUUUUGUAAGUCUGUCGUGAAAUCCCCGGGCUUAACCUGGGAAUUGCGAUGGAGACUGCAAGGCUAGAAUCUGGCAGAGGGGGGUAGAAUUCCACGUGUAGCAGUGAAAUGCGUAGAGAUGUGGAGGAACACCGAUGGCGAAGGCAGCCCCCUGGGUCGACACUGACGCUCAUGCACGAAAGCGUGGGGAGCAAACAGG